UACGUAGGGGGCAAGCGUUGUCCGGAAUUAUUGGGCGUAAAGAGCGUGUAGGCGGUCCGGUAAGUCAGCUGUGAAAGUCAAGGGCUCAACCCUUGAAUGCCGGUUGAUACUGUCGGGCUAGAGUCCGGAAGAGGCGAGUGGAAUUCCCGGUGUAGCGGUGAAAUGCGCAGAUAUCAGGAAGAACACCAAUGGCGAAGGCAGCUCUCUGGGACGGUACUGACGCUGAGACGCGAAAGCGUGGGGAGCAAACAGG
rnacentral:rRNA from 1 species